rnacentral:rRNA from 1 species
UUGUAGCUUGCUACGAUUUAACUUAGUGGCAGACGGGUGAGUAAUGUAUAGGAAUCUACCUAGUAGUACGGAAUAAUUGUUGGAAACGGCAACUAAUACCGUAUACGCCCUACGGGGGAAAAAUUUAUUGCUAUUAGAUGAGCCUAUAUUAGAUUAGCUAGUUGGUGGAGUAAUAGCCUACCAAGGCAAUGAUCUAUAGCUGAUCUGAGAGGAUGAUCAGCCACACUGGAACUGAGAUACGGUCCAG